CGGUCCCGCAGAGUAUCCAAGCAGAAACGACAUUUUCCGCCAACAACAACAGGUUGGUAAUAGAUCUGAAAUAUGCCUAUCUUGGUAGUCAGUGUAUACAGCGUGGUUGAACGCAUAUAUCCCUGCACUCUCAGGAAUAAAAGGAGUUUUCCCUCGUCAUCGGUGUGACACUGUGGUCAGCGAGUGAUCCUUCCUAAUGACGGACCCUACGUUAUUUUCUGGGUACGCUAUAAUACGUACAUGAAGGUACAAAAGAUGCCCUCUUCGUGGUACCAUGCCAGCGAGAAUAUUUCUGUCCAAGAGGAUGCAAUUAUAUCUACCUCAUGACUGUAGAAGUCGUUGUAUCGUGUCAGUCAGCGUAUAAAGUGUAUCUUGGAAAAGUGCUCAGUGUGUAGGCUGUGUGAUUUGAGACUAGACCCCAGCUGGCUGCCUUGUUGGUGAUUGAUUUCUCUCUGAAACACUAGUAGUGAUAAGUGCAGCACCGUUAUUAGGUUUUCUCCCCCCCCCGCCAACUAUCAUUUUAUAUAUAUAUAUAUACACACACACGUUGAUAUAGAGUGUGGACCUUCAAAGAAAAAGAAGGAGAAGAAACAUCCAGAAAAAGAUUCAGAACAAACACAAAACCCAAGUGGUUGACAUUACUAAGGAAAAUGUCUUUCACAUAAUGAUGAGUGUGAGUGAUUGAUACUGUACAUAGAGCUCCUGUACGACAAGCUAAACCUUUCCUUUCAAGCUAGCUCAGUUAUCCAAACCCAACCUCAGCUAACAUUAUAUUCUAAAUAAAUAACAACAACAAUAAUACAAAAAAUAAAAUAAACUCGCUUUAAAGAAGUGUAUCAGCUCUUAAGAAAAGAUGGCUGGGCAACGAUGAGAUUUAUUUAACACCAAAAACAGGAUCUUUUUCUGGAAGGAUUUGACACAGAAGGGGAAUUAAAAAUAAAUAAAAAUAAAAAUAAAACAAAAAAGAUUUGUGAUGGACAGAAAAUCAAGUCGAGACCGACAAGAGGAGCUAGAAAUAAAUAAACAAAAAUUAACAAACAAACAAACAAACACACAAAAAAACUGCUGCUUAGCCUCGCUGGCUAACAGUCAUUAUGCUAACUAACUGUUAGCCAGAUAGCUAGCUUGGGUGGCCUGACCCGAGAGAGAGAGAGAGAGAGAGAGAGAGAGAGGAAAAAAACCCCACGAAUAUUCAACACAACAAAAACAACUUAGCUUCCAGUAUAUACAUACCGUAUUAUUAUCCCGUCGCUGAGAGACAUGUAGCCCUGCAUAACAAACCCCAACACAAGCCGCCAGGUGUUUCAGUCGAAGCUGGCCGAUUUAAAACAACUGGGAACCAGAGAAAUGUCUCAAAACCAGGGCCAAAAUGAAGAGAGGGGGCCGCUAAUGCUAAAGCGCUAAUGCUAACGCCAAUGCUAAAGCUAACGCUAGUGCAGCUGAGAGGAGAAGAGAAUUGACGAGAGGCUCAUUUUUUUAAUUCCUCCCUGAAUAAUGCUGUUUUUCUCUCCCAAACAGGUCUCCGACACAUCCUCCCGGUUCCGCCUGAAGUUCCGGACAGGUACAGGAUGAAGACAAAAAAUCCGCUUGUGGCUCGCUGCAAUUCGGCUCUGUCCCUUUAAAAAUAAAAAUAAAAAGCUUCCCCCAUCAACUGCCUUUUGCUGUGUGUGUAUGUGUGUGUAUGCAUCACUCUGGGCUUUGGGAUGGAAAGAUGGAGCUUGCGCCCCCGUGAGGAGCACAGAGGAGAUGCUGACGGACCACAAUGCACCGGGGCGUGACAGGAGGACA
ensembl:lncRNA